GUCAUGCACACUUUAAAAAGGAAAUUAGGAGAGCAAAAAGGGGGCAUGAAAAAACAUUGGCAGAUCUUCAGUUCCCUGAGGCAGCUCUCUGCCUUCAGAGAGAUUUCUGUCAGCGCUCGCCUGCGAUGAUGUCAGCGCUCGAUCUCCUCCCACCCCCACCCCAGCAGCACUGAGCUUUGGGGGCUGAUCGCAGCCGCGCUCCACUUCCCAGCCGCUCCCAGGCCUGCCGAUUGCACCCACCUGCCAACUUAAAAAUACAGGCCUAUCUCACUGCCAGAAUUCUGAUCAAGUGCUCCGUUUCUUUUUCAAAAGGGGGCACUUCAGCUCCUCGAACCUAUUGCACAAUUGAAUUAGGUCAUGGCUGAUCUGCAUCUUAACCCCCCCCAUUUACCCUCCUUAUCUCUUAAUAGGAAUCAUGGAAAACAAAUCACAGUACGGUAAUGAAAAGGCCACAUUGUUUUCCCAACAAAAAUCUAUCAGUUUCACGAUUGAAAUUUUCAAUUGAUCUGCAGCCUCAAGAACAAAAAGGGUGAAACCAAAGGGAAUAUGUGAAGGUUAGGAAAGAAGUCAAAACAAAAUUAGGAAGGUAAUGAGAAGCUACAAAAUUAAUUUAUCAAGGAAUUUAAAAUAUAUAAAAAGUCUUUUACAGGCACAUCAGUAAUAAAAGAAAAUUCCGAUCAGGGUUCAGACUCACUUGAGAGAUGCACCUGAAACACUCACUGAUAAUAACAACAAAAUAUCAGAAAUAUUGAAGAAUUACUUUACCAAGAGAAUUAACAUGAUGCAGGUGACAUUAGAUAAAGAGAUCAAAAAGGAUUGAAGACAUUUAAAAUAGAAAGGGGGGAGAGAAAGUUAAUAAAUAAUCAAAUUUAGACAGGAUAAAUCUCCUGGUUCAGAUGGAUUAUAUCUGUGCAUAUUAAAACUGAGGGAAGAGAUAACAGAGGAACAAUUCCAAGGGUACUUUCCCCCUAGGCAAACUUUCAUCCACGAUAAACAGUCAAAAAUUAAUGCAGUAAAGUGGUCCCACUCUCACAUAACCACUAAAAAUUGUCAAACUCAGAGGUAGUUGUAGUCUGCAGCCUGCCCUCAGCCCUCACUCUGGUCUCAGCCUCCCCGAGUUCCAUUCCACUGCUCUGCUUCUGCAGCACCACGUUCCCUCAGUCCACGUUCCCUCAGUCCACGUUCCCUCAGUCCACGUUCCCUCAGCACCACGUUCCCUCAGUCCACGUUCCCUCAGUCCACGUUCCCUCAAUCCACAUUCCCUCAGCACCACGUUCCCUCAGUCCACGUUCCCUCAGCACCACGUUCCCUCAGUCCACGUUCCCUCAGCACCACGUUCCCUCAGUCCACGUUCCCUCAGCACCACAUUCGCUCAGUCCACGUUCCCUCAGUCCACGUUCCCUCAGUCCACGUUCCCUCAGUCCACGUUCCCUCAGCACCAUGUUCCCUCAGCACCACGUUCCCUCAGUCCACGUUCCCUCAGUCCACGUUCCCUCAGUCCACGUUCCCUCAGUCCACGUUCCCUCAGCACCACGUUCCCUCAGUCCACGUUCCCUCAGCACCACGUUCCCUCAGUCCACGUUCCCUCAGCGCCACAUUCCCUCAGUCCACGUUCCCUCAGCACCACGUUCCCUCAGUCCACGUUCCCUCAGCACCACAUUCCCUCAGUCCACGUUCCCUCAGCACCACAUUCCCUCAGUCCAUGUUCCCUCAGCACCACGUUCCCUCAGCACCAUGUUCCCUCAGCACCACGUUCCCUCAGCACCACAUUCCCUCAGCACCACGUUCCCUCAGCACCACGUUCCCUCAGUCCACGUUCCCUCAGCGCCACAUUCCCUCAGCACCACGUUCCCUCAGCGCCACAUUCCCUCAGCACCAUGUUCCCUCAGCACCACGUUCCCUCAGCACCACGUUCCCUCAGUGUCAGUUAGAUUUGUGCGCUCCAUUCUGACACCUCUCGUGAGACCUCAUUCUGGAUCAGAAGAUCCUCACCCAGGCGCUUGCCUUUCUGAAUAGAUGAACUUGAAGUGCCCCAACCCCGGGCACCCUGUUAAGUUGCUCGUGUUCAUAAUAAAGUCAAAGCGAUAUCAA